UUGUCUCAAAGAUUAAGCCAUGCAUGUCUCAGUACAAGCCUAAUUAAGGUGAAACCGCGAAAGGCUCAUUAAAUCAGUUAUGGUUCCUUAGAUCGUACCAACAUUUACUUGGAUAACUGUGGUAAUUCUAGAGCUAAUACAUGCAAACCGAAGCUUCGACCGGAGACGGGAGAAGCGCUUUUAUUAGAUCAAAACCAAUCGGUGGCGGGUUCGCCCGUCAUCGUACAACUUGGUGACUCUGAAUAACUUUAAGCUGAUCGCACGGUCUCGCACCGGCGACGCAUCUUUCAAAUGUCUGCCUUAUCAACUGUCGAUGGUAGGUUCUGCGCCUACCAUGGUUGUAACGGGUAACGGGGAAUCAGGGUUCGAUUCCGGAGAGGGAGCCUGAGAAACGGCUACCACAUCCAAGGAAGGCAGCAGGCGCGCAAAUUACCCACUCCCGGCACGGGGAGGUAGUGACGAAAAAUAACGAUACGGGACUCAUCCGAGGCCCCGUAAUCGGAAUGAGUACACUCUAAACCCUUUAACGAGGAUCAAUUGGAGGGCAAGUCUGGUGCCAGCAGC
rnacentral:rRNA from 1 species